rnacentral:lncRNA from 1 species
UUUAAUCCCAGUUAAAAACACACUGUUGGGAGUGAGGUAGUUUACUUUUUCUUCCAUCUCAGCUAGAGGCGUCCAAAGUCAUUCCAGGGAAACCGUUGGAUGCCCAGCAGUGUGCUUUGCGCUCGUGGAGACCCUGAAACAAACAUUCUUCGCACUGUGGCUUAAAUACACGACCGUACGACGUGUUUCUUGUCUGCGGUCGUAUGUGCAUGUGGGAUGGCGAGUGUGAGAGGGCUUAGACCAGGCAAAAGGCAAGUUAAUCUUUUUUCUCAUCAAAUUAGCAAGUCAGCGCAUCAACCUGUUGGCCUCACGUAGCUCGAAACUCACUAGCAGUCCAAUCUGAAUGUUUUUGGGAUCAGGGGGAAAUAUCGCAUUUCAGGAGAACUUGAGUGAAGGAGAAGCUUUUCCCCCUUCAACAGGACUGUGUCUCUCAGUUCAUCUUCAUUUCCCUUAAACAGACAUUGUCACCUGCUGGUUGGUAUGGCUGCAUUUUGCGGCCUCCGGAGCCCUGGCAAGUGGGGUCAGAGACAGUGGACAUCUCCGCUGCUCCUGGGGGAUAAAGGCAAUAGUGGGAACCCGGGAGGAGAAAAUCGCAAGGGCCGUGUCUUGGGCAGAGACAGAGACGUUGGCGGAGGACCUCCUGUCUGCGAGGUGUGGUAUGAUCCUUGAGAGGGAGAGAAGGCAGUGUGGCCUCCCCUCCACUGGACCUGGUCUCGGAGCAUCCUGCCUGGGCUCAGAGCAUCCUUCUCCUGCCCUUCCCACAGAGUGGUGAUGACCAGCCAGUGGCGCAAUCGUGGCCUUUGGAUUGCCAAACGGCGGGGGUUGAAGCCAAGGAGGUUUCAGAUGAAGUUGAGACUGCGGAGAUCGUCCUGAAGGCCACGUACAUCUGUAGAGCAGAUGGCUUCCGGGCUCUCUUCUCCACUCAGGCCCUGAUUUCCCGGCCUUCUGUGACAUUACUAUGGGGGUAUGCUUCUUCUACAGAAGUAUGUGAAAUGGAGAACAACCAAAACUUUCGGACAGGAACUGAGUGUGCUGUGUUAUUUGGACAAACCCACAGCACGGAUGAGGCGGCAAGAAUUGAGAAGUGUUGGUGGUCACGGCCGAUAAUUCAAGUUGAUUAGCAACUCAAGCGUGUUCCAGAAUUCUGGCAAGCUAUCUGAUUGGUACCGUGCACCGUUUAGACAAGAGCUUCUGUGGAGAUUCACUCAUUCACGGACGGAUGUAUUGCUUCACUGAGCAAACCUCCGUCCAGGGUCUCACUGUGUAGCUCAUACUGGGUCAGGCCUCAGAAGGCAGGGCAAAACCCCUUCGCCCUCACAGAGUUUGCUGCCUAAGGAGACAGACAUUUAGCAAGGACACACACAGAGGCCUGCGUCACUGUGGAUUUUCAGCUGUUGUAGGGGCGGCUCUCCCGUAUCCCCACGUUCCGGCUACCAGCGUCUGCCUCUUUCUGUCGGACAGCCUGCCUCCCCGUCUGCUCCCCUGCCCAUGGGUUUCCCUCUGGCAGAGCCGAAGUGCUGAGGGACCAAUGCCCCUGUCCCUCCUGUCCCCCUUUGACCCAGGACUUCAGGAUCCGAUGUGUAAAUACUCCAGCUCCCUUGCCCGUUGCAUGGGAACAUCCUGAGGCUUGUUUCUGCCAAACACCAUUUCCUAGAGAUUCCCCCGUGGGAUUAAUCUCUCAUCACCUCUGCCGGUCCCUGGCUUGACAACAGGCCAUGUCACGUCGGCAGACGUGUGAGAUGUGCCAGCCCCGUGACAACUUGUGAUGAGUUGAUUGGAUCAGGGAAGCAAUUUCAUUAUUUAAACUGCGUCAGGUGGAUGAAGCGGGAGCUCUCCAGGCACGGAGGGAGCCGGGGUGUGGGUGUGCGGGUGCGGCAGGACCCUGAGUAGGUGGGGUGCCUGACCCCCCUCCAAGCUCACUACUGUGCCAAGCGAGGGAGAUACCGGGGCCCCUGCUCUCUGAAGGUGGGGCUCAAUUGUGGUCAGGUUACUAGAGGAACAAUUUCUGGAACGUGUCUAGAUGUCUUAAUUCUCACAUCAUCUUCUCGUUUCCUCAUCUUGCCCCAACAACAACCCCGUGAGGGUUGAGAGGGUAAGUAUUCCGUAGAGGUACAGAGUGAU